rnacentral:lncRNA from 1 species
AAAAAUUCUUAAGGGUUCCACGGAACCCAGUGUCUCGCCUACUUUAAUAUGCUGUUAAUCGCAGGCUCAACAAAAGAGGAAUAAAAUCAAUGAAAAUAUUCCUCUUGAUACUAUCUUAUGAUUCUAAGAAGCUUCUGUCCAAGUUUGGUAAAAAUACAGUAUGUUUUAAAAACUUUAACUGCAGACUGUCUGUUAUGUAAACUGGAAGAUUUAUAACCAUUUAUAAGUAAAAUACAGAUACACAGGUAAAAUUUUCUUAUAGAUACUAGCUUUUGAUCCUAAACAAGCUUCUGUCCAAGUUUGGUACAGGUCCAAAAAUGUAUAAGAAAGUUAUUAGAAUUUUAAAAACUUUAACCACAGAGUGAAUGCGUUGUUUCCUGGCAGAAAAUCUAAGUCCAUAUAAAAGUAAAAUGCACAAAAAAAUGGAUUUUUUUGUUAACAAAAUUUACUUCUGGAUACUAUGUUUUGAUCAUAAACAAGCUAUUGUCUAAGUUUGGUACAAACCCAGGAUAAUUUAAGAAAGUUAUUAAAAUUUCAAAAACUUUAACCACAGAGUGAAU